rnacentral:rRNA from 1 species
CCUACGGGGAGCAGCAGUGGGGAAUAUUGGACAAUGGGCGAAAGCCUGAUCCAGCCAUGCCGCGUGUGUGAAGAAGGCCUUCGGGUUGUAAAGCACUUUCAGUGGGGAAGAAAGCCUUGGGGCUAAUACCCUCGAGGAAGGACAUCACCCACAGAAGAAGCACCGGCUAACUCCGUGCCAGCAGCCGCGGUAAUACGGAGGGUGCGAGCGUUAAUCGGAAUUACUGGGCGUAAAGCGCGCGUAGGCGGUCUGAUAAGCCGGUUGUGAAAGUCCCGGGCUCAACCUGGGAACGGCAUCCGGAACUGUCAGGCUAGAGUGCAGGAGAGGAAGGUAGAAUUCCCGGUGUAGCGGUGAAAUGCGUAGAGAUCGGGAGGAAUACCAGUGGCGAAGGCGGCCUUCUGGACUGACACUGACGCUGAGGUGUGAAAGCGUGGGUAGCAAACAGGAUUAGAUACCCUAGUAGUC